CGUAUUUUAGGCCGGUCUGACCGGUUCUAUUUCACCCUGUUUUUUGCGUACCUUUUUGUUUCCUCGGCAGGCUUGCCUGCCAGCAGGACAUUUUCAACUCUCAUGUUAGCAAUCAGCGUCAAAAAUAAAUACAAUUGUAA
rnacentral:misc_RNA from 1 species